UUCUGGGAGGAUUGACAGAUUGAGAGCUCUUUCUUGAUUCGGUGGAUGGUGGUGCAUGUCCGUUCUUAGUUGUUAAAGUGAUUUGUCUUGUUAAUUCUGAUAAUGAACGAGACUCUAGUAUAUUAAAUAGAUGCGUGGUUCUCUGCACCUUGCACCCUUCUCAGAGGGACAAGCGGCUCCUAGCCGCACGAAACAGAGCAAUAAAAGGUCUGUGAUGCCCUUAGAU
rnacentral:rRNA from 1 species